UACGUAGGGCGCAAGCGUUAUCCGGAAUUAUUGGGCGUAAAGAGCUCGUAGGCGGUUUGUCGCGUCUGCCGUGAAAGUCCGGGGCUCAACUCCGGAUCUGCGGUGGGUACGGGCAGACUAGAGUGAUGUAGGGGAGACUGGAUUCCUGGUGUAGCGGUGAAAUGCGCAGAUAUCAGGAGGAACACCGAUGGCGAAGGCAGGUCUCUGGGCAUUAACUGACGCUGAGGAGCGAAAGCAUGGGGAGCGAACAGG
rnacentral:rRNA from 1 species